UGGCAAUAGCAAUAACUAAUUUCCCCACCCGUAAAGGCCUAGAAACUAGUACCAAAUUUCGCUGCAAUUUCACGCGAAAAAGAGUGAAGGAGGAGAGCUUAAACAUUUAAAAUAAAUAAAUAAAUUUUUAGGGUUUUAGUUUUCGGAGUCUGAUCUGAAAUCCGAUCCAUCAUCGAGAAGGCUAAAUGUAUCAGUGGAGGAAAUUUGAGUUCUUCGAGGAGAAAUUGGGGGGAGGGAAAUGCAGAAUCCCGGAGGAAAUCAGUGGAAAAAUCGAGUGUUGCUCCAGCGGCAGAGGAAAGCUGGUGAUCGGCUGCGAUGACGGCACUGUUAGCCUCCUUGACCGCGGCCUUAACUUCAAUUUCGGUUUUCAAGCUCACUCUUCUUCUGUCCUCUUCCUCCAACAGCUGAAGCAACGAAAUUUCUUGGUGAGUAUUGGAGAAGAUGAACAAAUACCACCACAGCAAUCGGGGAUGUGCCUGAAGGUAUUUGAUCUUGAUAAAAUGCAGCCGGAAGGAUCGAGUACCACCACUCCUGAUUGUAUUGGAAUUUUGCGUAUUUUCACCAAUCAGUUUCCUCAAGCUAAGAUCACAUCAUUUUUAGUCUUAGAGGAAGCUCCACCUAUAUUACUUAUAGCCAUUGGGUUAGACAAUGGUUGCAUUUACUGUAUCAAGGGAGAUAUUGCACGUGAAAGAAUAACUCGAUUCAAGCUUCAGGUUGAUAGUGUAUCUGACAAAGGAAAUUCAUCGGUUACAGGACUAGGUUUUAGGUUGGAUGGUCAAGCCCUUCUAUUGUUUGCUGUAACUCCAAAUUCUGUGAGCUUGUUCAGCAUGCAGGACCAACCUCCUAGGCGGCAAAUAUUAGAUCAGAUUGGAUGCAAUGUCAAUAGUGUCACAAUGAGUGACCGCUUGGAGUUGAUAAUUGGUCGACCUGAGGCUGUGUAUUUCUAUGAAGUAGAUGGGCGUGGCCCCUGUUGGGCUUUUGAAGGAGAGAAGAAGUUCGUUGGUUGGUUUCGUGGAUAUUUAUUAUGUGUUAUUGCAGAUCAAAGAAAUGGCAAGAAUACUUUUAAUGUUUAUGAUCUCAAGAACCGAUUAAUAGCGCACAGUCUAGUUGUUAAAGAAGUUUCUCACAUGCUAUGUGAAUGGGGUAAUAUAAUACUUAUAAUGACUGACAAAUCAGCUUUGUGUAUCGGUGAGAAGGAUAUGGAAAGCAAGUUGGAUAUGCUCUUCAAGAAAAACCUUUACACUGUAGCUAUCAACCUUGUUCAAACUCAGCAAGCUGAUGCUUCCGCAACUGCUGAAGUAUUGAGGAAGUAUGGCGAUCAUCUAUAUAGCAAACAAGACUAUGAUGAGGCUAUGGCUCAGUACAUCCACACCAUUGGUCACCUUGAACCUUCAUAUGUAAUACAAAAGUUUCUGGAUGCGCAAAGAAUUUACAACCUUACAAAUUACUUAGAAAAUUUACAUGAGAAGGGGCUUGCCUCUAAAGAUCACACUACCCUUCUGCUAAACUGCUAUACAAAAUUGAAAGAUGUUGAAAAGCUGAAUGUGUUCAUUAAGAGUGAGGAUGGUGUCGGGGAACAUAAAUUUGAUGUGGAGACUGCUAUAAGGGUCUGCCGUGCAGCAAAUUAUCAUGAACAUGCCAUGUAUGUUGCAAAGAAGGCAGGGAGACAUGAAUGGUACUUAAAGAUUUUGCUUGAAGACCUCGGCAGAUAUGAUGAAGCAUUGCAUUAUAUUUCAAGCCUUGAAUCAAGUCAAGCUGGGGUGACAGUGAAGGAAUAUGGGAAGAUUCUCAUAGAGCACAAACCGGCAGAGACAAUUGAUAUACUCAUGAGGCUUUGUACUGAGGAUGUAGAUUUGGCUAAAAGUGGAACUUCAAAUGGUUCUUACUUAUCUAUGUUGCCAUCUCCUGUUGAUUUCCUCAACAUUUUCAUCCAUCAUCCACAAUCGCUUAUGGAUUUCCUUGAAAAAUAUGCCAACAAGGUAAAAGAUUCUCCUGCUCAGGUAGAGAUUCAUAACACGCUCUUGGAGUUGUACCUGUCCAUUGAUUUGAACUUCCCUUCAAUCUCCCAAGCUAACAAUGAAAUAGAUUUUAAUAUUAAAGCAAGACCAACAGCACCUGCAAUGUCAAGGGCAGUGUCCAAUGGGAAGUUAAUUGUCAAUGGUAAGAAUUCAUAUAUGGAAAAGGACUCUCUGGAAAGACGUGAGAAGGGGCUACGUUUGCUUAAGAGUGCAUGGCCAUCUGACCUGGAACAUCCACUUUAUGAUGUUGAUCUUGCUAUUAUCCUAUGUGAGAUGAAUGCAUUCAAAGAAGGCUUAUUGUAUCUCUAUGAGAAGAUGAAGCUUUAUAAAGAAGUGAUUGCUUGCUACAUGCAAGCCCACGACCAUGAGGGAUUGAUUGCAUGUUGCAAAAGGCUAGGGGAUUCUGGUAAGGGGGGGGAUCCCACUCUUUGGGCAGAUCUUCUAAAGUAUUUUGGUGAACUUGGGGAAGAUUGCUCUAAAGAAGUGAAAGAAGUAUUGACAUAUAUUGAAAGGGAUGACAUCUUGCCUCCCAUUAUUGUUCUUCAGACACUUUCAAGGAACCCAUGCCUCACACUAUCGGUUAUUAAAGAUUAUAUUGCUCGGAAACUUGAGCAAGAAUCAAAGCUGAUUGAAGAGGACAGACGAGCUAUAGAGAAGUAUCAGGAAGACACAUUGACUAUGAGAAAAGAAAUUCAAGACCUCAGGACAAAUGCCAGGAUAUUUCAGCUGAGCAAGUGCACUGCUUGCACUUUUACCCUUGACCUACCUGCUGUCCAUUUCAUGUGUAUGCACUCAUUUCAUCAACGUUGCCUUGGUGAUAAUGAAAAGGAAUGCCCUGAGUGUGCUCCUGAGUACAGAUCUGUAAUGGAAAUGAAGAGAAGCUUGGAACAGAAUUCAAAAGAUCAAGAUCGAUUCUUCCAACAAGUCAAGAGCUCAAAGGACGGGUUUUCGGUGAUUGCUGAAUAUUUUGGGAAGGGUGUCAUUAGCAAAACUAGCAAUGGUUCCACAGGAACUGUUAGAUCUGGCAGCACCUCCUCCACCAGUGGCUUCUGAAUUUUCUUGAUUGUUGUAGUUAUAAGUGUUCUUCUUUAAGCAUCUCUCAUUGUUCAUCGCAUUGCAAGGUCAAUGUUUUUGAAAUCACAAUGACCGUUGGUAAAAUAAAGUGAGUGGGAUCAUGGAUUUUUUUGGGGCACUAGGCCAGGUAUAUUUUUGACGGACCAAUAGUUCCUUCUUCCAAUUGGACUAGUUGUUCAAAUGGUGAGAAUGCAGCAUCAUUUCUGUGGUGAGAAAAAAAUUGUCAGAAGGAUACAACUUGCGUGAUAUUUCAAAAUGGAAUACUCAUCCAUUGUUUUCACUCAGAAGGCACAGCUCACAUCUAUUCUGGUUUCACGAUUCUAGUUAACUGAGACAGGGCAAUGAUCUUUGUAAUUCAUCUGGUGAUGCUUUACUCAUUGAUCCGUCCGGGAAAUGGAUUGUUGGGGCCAACAACAUAUGGUGGAGAUCAGGGUACCGUUUUUGUGUCUGGUUCCUAUCAAAUGCAACAGUCAGUAUUGUUACCGUCGAGUGUUUGUCAUAGAAAAGCAGUUGCAUCCUCCGCCAGCUAACGUCUAGCCAUCAGUAACUCCUCGACCUAAUUUUGUCGGAGUGUUAAUCUUUUUGUGCGCUUAAAUCAAGCUUGUUUGUCCUACAAAAAUCUAUGAAAGCAAUGUUCAAUUGAAAGGAUCUACCAACAAUACUUGGGCAUGGUUUUCUUGAAUGAACUGCUGGGCAAAUUAUACUUUUAUGAGGUUUUGGGAUCUACCGCCUAUUUUGUUUUUGUGCCAUGCGUCCAUAUGUAUUUCAGAAUUUAGUGUUGCAGAAGGGUGUCCUCAAGCGGUUGUAUGAUUGCUUUUCGUCUCUCCAAGGACAUCUUGUUAAGAGUUAUAACAAUUUUCUUGCUGUAGGAUUUAACUAGUUUUUUAAUAGAAACUUGUUUCUCUAAUUCGAGUUGGGAACUGCCAAAACAGUACUGAUUUGACUGAUUAUGAAGCUCGGACAAGUGCCCAAGUUGCAACAACAAAUGGUGGUGUUUUGUUGUUAAUCGAGUGUCCUCCUUAGAGCUAGGCCGAUACCAUAUCAAAUCAUGCCGUUUUGAGUGUACAUGUGGUUUGUCGAAGCAUGAGUUUUUGGUAAUCAAUCAUGGGGUGGGACUGGGACAUACAACAAACUGUCAGUCAAUCAUGGUUACGUCGCUGAUUAGCUGUAUUUGCACUAGAUUUGCUUUCGUCCUAAUGAUAGUGGCAUUCUCCUUGGCAGGCAGCGCA